rnacentral:tRNA from 1 species
UCCCUGGUGGCUUGGCCGGUAAAAGCAUCUGCCUACAAUGCAGGAGACCCAGGUUCCAUCCCUGGGUUGGGAA